rnacentral:rRNA from 1 species
AUUGCGCAAUGGGGGGAACCCUGACGCAGCAACGCCGCGUGAGUGAAGAAGGCCUUCGGGUCGUAAAACUCUGUCAUUAGGGAAGAAUAAAGUGACGGUACCUAAUGAGGAAGCCCCGGCUAACUACGUGCCAGCAGCCGCGGUAAUACGUAGGGGGCGAGCGUUGUCCGGAAUUACUGGGCGUAAAGGGUGCGUAGGCGGCCAAUUAAGUCAGAUGUGAAAUACCAGGGCUCAACCCUGGGGGUGCAUAUGAAACUGGUUGGCUUGAGUGCAGGAGAGGAAAGUGGAAUUCCUAGUGUAGCGGUGAAAUGCGUAGAUAUUGGGAGGAACACCAGUGGCGAAGGCGACUACCUGGACGAAAACUGACGCUGAUGCACGAAAGCUAGGGGAGCAAAC